UGAUGUAAGCACGACCAACAACACUAAAAAUGAUGAGCUAGCAUUGCCUCAAGGACCAAUUACAAGGUUGAGAUCCAAGAGGUUGAAGGAAGCACUUCAAGGAUUCAUGAAGGAAUAUGUUGAAGCUUUGCAAGUUCAUUUUGAAGUUGAAGAACAAUCUGACCAUUCCAAGUCAAUUAGGCCGAAUGUGUCCUUAUUGACAAUUCAAAUUUUGUAUU
rnacentral:lncRNA from 1 species